UGUUUACUUCCUUACUACUUACCUUAGCCACAAGUGUAUUAAUAAAGCCAUAUAAUUAACCACUGACACUUUACAAGUUACCUGAGCUCUAACGUUUAAUUAGAAAAUAUAUUGAUUUCUUGGCUAAAAAAAAUAAGCCUACUCAAUAUGGGAAAUACAUCCGGCUUUUUUCAUGUAUGUAUUUAUAUCUUUAAACCUAGAAGAGAAAGGCUUG